rnacentral:lncRNA from 1 species
UUUAUUUUAUGGUUACGUAUGCAUGAAUCAUGGUUUCUUUUAUUAUGGUUUGAAUUAUGGUGAACUCGAUGUUGUGUUGUUUUGUUUGGUGUUCAUUAUUGCUUUACGUGUUUGUGUAUGAUUGGAUAAUUGAGACCAAGAAAAAUGGGAAAAAGGUUAUGUGAAUUGAUAAAUGAAUGAUGUGGACAGCCUGACUAGAUAUCCUGGGAGAUGGUGGACGGACCAGGUCUGUAGGGAACCCUACCGGGAACGUGGUCUCUCUUAUCGAACAGGGUAUGGAGACCUUAUGU